rnacentral:ncRNA from 2 species
ACUACUCAUCAUUACAUAGGUGGCGAUGCAUCAGAUGCCAUUGCCUUAAAAGGGAAUCCGGUGAAAAACCGGAGCAGUCCCCGCUGCUGUAAUCCUGCAAAAAACUUCAGAUAAAAUAAAGCCACUGUACACCGCUGUGUAUGGGAAGGCCAUCUGAAGUCAGGAGAGCCAGAAGACCUGCCUCUGUAAAACCAAGCAU